rnacentral:rRNA from 1 species
AGAGUUUGAUCCUGGCUCAGAAUGAACGCUGGCGGCGUGUUUUACACAUGCAAGUCGAGCGAGGCGGGGAGCAAUCCCCAGUCGAGCGGCGAACGGGUGAGUAACGCGUGGAUGACCUGCCCUUUAGUGGGGAAUAACCCGGGGAAACUCGGGCUAAUACCGCAUAAGACCGAGAGGUGAAAGCGGGGUCGCAAGAUCUCGUGCUGAAGGAGGGGUCCGCGUUCGAUUAGCUAGUUGGUAGGGUAAUGGCCUACCAAGGCGACGAUCGAUAGCCGGCCUGAGAGGGUGAUCGGCCACACUGGAACUGAGACACGGUCCAGACUCCCUACGGGAGGCAGCAGUGGGGGAAUUUUGCGCAAUGGGCUAACGCCUGACGCAGCAACGCCGCGUGGAGGGAUGAAGGUCUUUGGAUUGUAAACUCCUGUCAGCAGGGAAAAAGCGACCUGACCUAAUACGUCAGGGGAGUUGAUUGUACCUGCAGAGGAAGCCCCGGCUAACUCUGUGCCAGCA